UGGGCUAUCAACUUGAGUAGCUCUGGGCCUAGAGCACAUCCAGCAAAGUUUAGAAUCAUUAAGGUCUAUGUCAAUUGCUGGGUACCCUAACCCUAAAAUCCUCCUCUGACACCCAACAGUCAAAACAAUAAGAAGAAAAUUGCCUUGGGAAACAUUUGGGUGCCUGGGCCCCCAACUCCGCGAUUUAUCCGAUUCUUUGGAAUGCGAAGGCCUGUACAGGUUGACAGAAGGAAAGGGGUUGGGGCUCAAGGAGAGUGGAGGAUGAAUAGUGGGCGCAGACUGAGGUCGUCGGGGGGAGAGGCUCGCCACGCUGCGGCCGGAAUUCUGGACCGGGAGUCCAUGAGGGGCCGCAGUGCCCGCCCCGCCCUUCUCCUGGCGCUGGCCCCAAGGCUCCGCCUUGGAGUGGGCCGGGAUCCAGGUCCCCUCUCUUCCCCCCCACCCCCCAACCCUACGGCCCGGGCCGGGAAUGGAGGCGCCGGCCGAGCUGCUGGCCACGCUGCCGCUUUUGGGAACUGCACUGGCUCUUUUGCUUGCCUCUUUGUGGUUCUGGCGGAGCCGAGCCUGUGCGCUCAGGAGCUCCGAGGAUCCUGCUCCCCCAAAGCAGGCCCGGCCCUCCGCGGGCGCAGAGGAGACACAGACAUUCGGAGAAGCACUGGAAGAGCCUCCGGCGGGGGCAGGAAAAAAGGAGGAGGAGCCGGAGGAGGAGGAGGAGGAAGAGAGACAGAAUGAAGAGCCAAACUCUGAAAGUAAGAAGAUGUCACUACUAUCUAAACUAGAAGACGAAGAUGAAGAGGAGGCAUUUUCCUUUAAAUAUAGCCCUGGGAAACUGAGAGGGAACCAAUAUAAGAAGAUGCUGACCAAAGAAGAAUUGGAGGAAGAACAAAGGAUUGAACUGACCUCUGACUUCACUUGCCUGUAGCAAGUACCUUAGUUCUGCACCACAAAUACUCUCCCAAAACUUUUUGGGUUAAAAAAGAACAGCUGGCUGCCAUCUUCAAACUCAUGAAGGACAAUAUGGAGACUUUUGGAGAGAUGUCUGAUGGAGAUAUGCAGGAACAGCUCAAGCUUUAUGAUAUGUAGGCUCAAAAACAAUAAAGCUCUCCAAUAGCUGCUGUCUUGCCCUUGAAUUUGAAGACAAUUGUACAGUGACUGUUAUUAGAUUAGAAACUCUUGUUUUCAGAUUGUAGGUUUAAAUACAUAUGUAUGCAUACAUACACACACACACACACACACACACACACACACACAUAUAACUUUUUGCAUAUACUCUUUAUAUCUCAUCUCCUAGGGAUCAAAAAUACUCCCCACAGAGGAAGAGUGGUGAGCAACCCAUUAGCUGAGUUUCCCUCCCAAUUGCUUGUUAUUGCAGUUUGAACUAUGUGACAUAAUUAGUAGUAGAAGAUAAAAUACUUUAUCUUCUGACUUGAGCUAAGAAAUUUCUCAUGUUAGUCCCAAGACAGGCAUUAAUAAUACAGAACCAGACUAGAUGAUAUUAGAGUAAGGCUGACUCAAAGUUUUUGCUCAUGACUCAAUAGUAAGCUCUUUGGGAGGAUCUAGGAAUUCUGAAGAAUAUAAUAUUUUUACUUUUAGCAUCCUUAUAAGUUUUUAUAGGGCUAGAGUCUGAAAUUUUUUUUAAGCAUCAGGAAUCCAUUUCUUCCUAGGUGGUCUAAAAAUCUGUUUCAAUCUUUGUGGAUUAAAAUAAAGGUACUGGGAAAUGAUGUUAUAAGAGUCUGUUCUAUGUUAUUUCUAGUCCUUGUUUAAUUCAAAUGUUUGUAGAGUGCC
rnacentral:lncRNA from 1 species